AUAUAUAUGUGUGUGUAUGUUUAUAUUGACUCAUCUUAUUUUUGCAACGGUGACCCUCUUGUUAGAUUGUUGACCAAUGGUAUCAAUGAAUAACCAUUUCAAGAGUAAAAGGAAAUAUUAUCCUUUUGCCUUAAUACUUCUGACAAUAAAUUAGCAUUCAGUCUAUAUUGUAAAGAGUUAUAUUUUUGUCUAAACUUUUCAAGGGGUAUUAAUGCAGAAAAAUAAUCAAGUCAUUCUAUAUUUAAACAAUUAUUUAUUAACACCAUUAGCCAAAAAUCUAACACUAGGAGAGUCAUUGAAAAAAUAGAACGAUGUCAGGGGUAUAUAUGCAAAUAAUGAUUAUUGAAGGGUAGAUGUGCAAUAAACCAUAUUUGCAAGGUUAUAUAUGCAAAAAAUUCUUUUCGUAAUAGUAACGGACUUGUGUUAAGUCAUUGAAACUUCCAAAUUGCUCUCGAAGAAAAACCUAAAAAGACAUGCCAAUGGUACCAUUACAUGUUAACUGUACUUGAAAUGGCUCUACUUUCAACUUAGAGAGAUAAGGGGUUUCACAGUCACAGACCCAUCAUUUUCACAAGGUUUCUCGUUUCACUUCCCACCUUGCAGUUUGAGACUUCAUAUAUAUACGUGUGAUCAUUUCAAAAUGUUGUGUGAUGUACCCUCAAACAUAUGAUAGCAGAAAUGAAAUGCAAAUGACUAGCCAAACAUGAUCAUGUUGAGACUGCAUAAGUUGCACCAAGAAGGAGUCUUUGAAUCUUGGACAUUUGACUCAACUUAUAAAAUUUUCCACAUCAUAUAAUAGGGGAAAGAGCUAAUGAAAAUUUAAUAUAAUUCGGCAAAGAGAAACUUAAUGACUAUACUAUUAUAGCUAAUCUAUUCUCAUCUCUGCUUAAAAAGCCCCAUAAAAUCCUUAGCUCUAAAAGAUUCAAUAGAUUUCACAUCCAUUGUAUAACUCCACCCACCCACCCGCUUACACAC
rnacentral:lncRNA from 1 species